rnacentral:misc_RNA from 1 species
GCGGACUUGGUCUUCUCAGAGCCCCCGAUUGGGAGUCACCUGAUUAUGUACGAGAAUUGAUAAGGAAGACCCGAGCGUUAACGGAUAAACCAUUUGGAGUAGGUGUCAUUUUAGCAUUUCCUCAUGAGCAAAAUCUAAGGGCCAUAUUAGACGAGAAAGUAGCAGUUGUGCAAGUUUACUGGGGAGAAUGUUCAAAGGAUCUUGUGGAUCAAGUUCAUUCUGCUGGGGUGAAAAUUAUUCCACAAGUUGGGAGUGUUGAAGAAGCGAGUAAAGCAGUUGAUGUUGGUGUUGA